GAUGAACGCUAGCGGCAGGCUUAAUACAUGCAAGUCGAGGGGCAGCAGGGAUAGCAAUAUUCGCUGGCGACCGGCGCACGGGUGCGUAACACGUAUACAAUCUGCCUUUUACAGGGGGAUAGCCUUUCGAAAGAGAGAUUAAUACCCCAUAAUAGUUGACCGGGCAUCUGGUUGAUUUGAAAGCUCCGGCGGUAAGAGAUGAGUAUGCGCCUGAUUAGCUAGUAGGUGAGGUAACGGCUCACCUAGGCUACGAUCAGUAGGGGAUCUGAGAGGACUAACCCCCACACGGAUACUGAGACACGGAUCCGACUCCUACGGGAGGCAGCAGUAAGGAAUAUUGGACAAUGCCCGCAAGGGUGAUCCAGCCAUGCCGCGUGCAGGAAGAAGGCCCUAUGGGUCGUAAACUGCUUUUACACCGGAGAAAACCUCCCUCGUGAGGGGAGCUGAUAGUAUGGUGAGAAUAAGCAUCGGCUAACUUCGUGCCAGCA
rnacentral:rRNA from 1 species